AACGGGCCGGAGGUAGAGGUCACUGCAGCAAGGAGGUUAUCACCCAGGCCGUCAUCACAGAAAUCAAGUAUGUGAGCAGCUAUGGGGCUUGAGAUCCCCUCCUGUAAAUUUCAAAGGUGAAAAAACAUUUAGUACCAAUGUCCAUUGCAGUUAUCACCCAAGGAACAAGCAUCGACAAGGUACCAGGAAGAUGACAUCAUGAAACAUUUUCAGAGCAAUUGAAAAUGCUUGGUUUUUGUCCCCAAGCAUGUUUCUACAUACGAAAAAGAAUUAAGCAAGAUCUGUGUCUGAGAAUCAAUUACGGUGAUGCAAUCGUCGUCGGGGAGCAUAGUCGGUCCUCAACAGCGACGACCGGAUUGUCUCGGCGCUGCAGCUUGUGGGAGCAAAUUCCUUGGAACUGUUCUGUUGGUUCUCCAGAAGAGAAAUGGUUCCGGACGGAGCCGUGAAAGAUCGAAUCGCAAUACGGCGAGGAAGAUGGGUUAUGGCCUUGCGGGAAGAGGAGGGGAGGGGGGCUGGAAAGAAGAAGCCUGUUUCUCCAUGCAGAUGCAAAGAUGACCUUUUAUAGGGUGGCGUCCAUGCAAGUCAGACGCCGGCAAUUUCUGCGCUACAGAUGCUAUUCUUGCGCGGGGUGUGUUAUUUCUGCAUCAACGGCUGGGAUGAUGAAAUAGAAGCGUGAUCGCUUAAUCCUGUGAUUAUAUGGAUUGAUCUGGAAGUGUCCUAUUCCGUUGGUUGUGUCAUGCACGGACGGAUGAGAGAUAUAUACCGGUGAACAAAGUGCAAGAUAUGCUCUGGACGUCCUGUCUAUGCAUAGUGGGAGCGUAAUUUGGCUUCUGUUCUGUCUGACAUGUCAUCGAUUGUAGAUGUGCACCUACUGCUUGGACUGUCGAAACUUUGGAAGAGGCUUUACCAGGCAAGAAAAGGACGUCAAGUCAUGGCUAGAGCUGUGGGUGCCUAAAGAAAGAACUUAUGCCCAUGUUUCCAAUCUGGAAUGCAGAAUCUUCAGCAAGCGAAUUAAUGGUACUAUGGCAAUUCUCGAGGAUUUUCGGUGAUGUGCAUUCAGUGGGAGAAGAUGUUUCUGUCGACGACGAGAUGCCUACGGUGCGCGUGUAUGUGAGCGUUUGUAUUUGUACUGUGUUAAAAAAAAACACCGGCAGUUACUUACGUGCCAAUCUCGAUCCAACGGCAGACAAGUAGGGUGCAUUGUUCGACCUCGAUCGUGGUAUAGACUAGGUACUGGCACUGCUAGUGUACUGUACUAUGUAUUGGCGUGCAACGGCUGGUCGACAGGUGUCGCCGCACAGACAGGGGUUGGAUUCUGCUGCACGAUCGUCUUGCGUUGCGUUGCGUUCCGUAUCACCGAAUUUCUCUACUUGGAGCCUAGACACGGCCACGGGUAUCUAACUAAAAACGACGGCCGCCUGUUCCUGUUUGUCUGCGCUACAGUACACACCCCGGACACCACAGCAGCUCUGCAUGGUCAACAGCUAGCUAGCUAGCCACCCUCGUGAUCAUGAUCGAAUAAAAUGGGGCAACAAUGGUUACCGGUGGCAAGUACGCGCCGUCCUCUCCUCUCCUUUUUUUUUCUUUUCUUUUCUGGUUGCGAAUGCAGUACGUGCCGUCCUUAGAUGCCUUUUUUUACAUGAUAAUACGUGUCUUGUUUAUAUAACCACAACAGCAGCCAUCAAAGAAAAAUAAGGGAUUACCUUUUCACCCGAGCUCGCCACGGUUUCAUCGCUAAUAUGCGACUUUUCAGACCUCCAAAGUGGCUUACUAAAGGCAAAUCCAUUGCUGUUAAAAGAAUAUGGUUGGGGCAGCACCCUGGACACGCCAUCAAACUACAUAUCUGACACCCACGAUCAGUGAAGACGUCAGAGGAGGAAGCCAUACCUGCCAGCCGCUAACCACGAACUCAGCGCACGAUCCAUCGUCUUUUAGAUGCCGCCGACGUAGACCACCAUCUACUACCUCGCAAGCUCCGCGUCGGUGCUGGAGUAAACGACAUAGCUCGUGGACACAAGUCCGCUGUAAGGAUGCUGCCUCCGCAAUGCCAUCCCCGCUUGGUCAGACUAGUUCCUAAAUCCAUCAUCGACCAUAGGGCAAGACACCUGGUCGAAGAAAGAUCUGGAGUUGGUUUAUUCCGUGUCGCUGCCGCUGAAGCCAAGUUGUUGAACAACCAAAACCUAAACUAACAGAACCCUAAACGUAUAGCUACACACAACCCAAACCUAAACGUAUAGGUAUACACAUCCGCACGCGUGAGAUCCCCCCCCUCCCCCACCCCACCAGCACCACUGCCAUAGGGAUGUCGCCACCGUCAUGCCAUCUGUGCUUGAACAUAUGUUGAAGAAAGAUCUGGAGUUUCUUUAUUCUGCCAUGUCGUCACCAUUACCGAAGCCAAGAUGUCGAAUGAUCAAAACCUAAACUGUUAGAAUCCUAAACCUAUAGUUACACACGUCCGCAUGCGUGUGAUCCGGCAACCCCUUCACCACCGUCGAUCAAGAGGUCGUCAGCGAAGGGGAGCCGCUGGGCGGAAAUCUUGUCACCCUUGCGGCGGCUAGAUCCCUUGUAGGGGAAGAAAGAAAACCCUCCCCGCCCUCCCGUCCUUGGAUGAUUGAGAAGAGAGAAGAAAUGAACCGGACAAUGAUGCACAUUAGAGGACAAGCAAAAGCGGGUAGCAUGGGGCGGAGUAGAGUGGAGUAGAGUACAUGAUGAACAGGGCCCUGCAGGUAUAUGGUUCUGACAGGUUAGAGCAAGGCAGGAAGGAACAAAGGAGACGGAAAGGCUGCUGGCUGGCCGGUGCACAAGUGUGUGCUGUGCACCCACCCAGACGGAAUGCAAUGCCCAUCAGUCCCAAAAAGGAAGAAAGAAAGAAAGAAAGAAAGAAAGAAAAGGCCCAGAGAGUUUAGGGCAUUCAUGUAUGCACCACGCUCCAAUGCCUGCCUGCCUGCUUGCUGCUCCAGUGCAGCAGCAGCAGCAGGAAGAAUCCAUCUGUCUAUCCCUUCCCGUAGGCCUCCACAAACUAGGCCAAAUCGAUCUACCAUCCUAGCACGGGCACAGGCAAAGCUUUGUGCCUGUGAUGAUCGAUCGAUCGAUCGAGGUUGCAAGUAGCGGCGGACGGAGGAGCCGAAAGGGCAAUGCCGGGAGGGCGAGCAGGCUGUGAUCUGCGCCGCGCUACGGGUGUCCCCGCUUUAGCGCUACACGCCGCGACCUGGCGAUUCCGUCCGGCGCCCCGUGGGAAUAAUGGGUGCGGUUCCGGCCGUGCGCGCGCGCGUACGAGUACGACGGUGGGUGGGUGUCGUACCGCAGCCGCAGCCGGAGCGGGCGCCGGAUCUGGGUUCCGAUCCGGCCGACCAUAUUCCGAUCGCGCGACGCGACGCCAGAUUCACUGCAGGUGCAGGCUCAUCACGAGCUUUGGAGCUCGGACGGGGAAGAGCGCGUUGCGUUGCGGACUACAUGCUCCCGGCCCGGCCAGAUCAUGCCUUCUCCCCUAUCGAGUAGUAGCUCGGUCUCUUUGUCUAUGGGGAUUAUCUAUCAUUGCAACAACUUGACCCUAGGCCCUAGCCGUAUCCUAUCCAUCUUUUUUUUUUGAAGGGUAUCCUAUCCAUCUUUGAGAUGUACGUACAGUGCUAGUGCUAUCUAUAUAGGACAACAAACAGGAAGAUUAGUGCUAGUUCUAUUUGUUCACCGUUAUCCUCUUUUUGUUUUCUUGAGAGAGAAUGCUGGUGUUUAUUGAUCACGAAACAUCGUUACAGAGAGUUUUUCGGGAUGUGCAACAUGAAAAGUUACAUUGCGAUGCGCCGAAAAAGAAUCACCAGAAGAAACACACAAUUGAACUUAAAAAAACAUACAAUUGCGCUAAUACGUGAGCCGCGCCAUUCAACAAAGGAUUAACAUGGCUAAAACUGCAAGGCUAGAAGUUGCCCGCCAACGGAGACUGAAUCCUAUGAAUACGGCCAUACAGCGCAAGAUGAAUUUGUGGAAAAGGAUGAGCACCAACAAGAGGAUCCCACGAUGACAAUGACAAGACCUAGACUCAAAGACCAUUUGCCAAAGA